rnacentral:rRNA from 1 species
UACGAAGGGGGCUAGCGUUGUUCGGAAUUACUGGGCGUAAAGCGCACGUAGGCGGACUGUUAAGUCAGGGGUGAAAUCCCGGGGCUCAACCCCGGAACUGCCUUUGAUACUGGUGGUCUAGAGUCCGGAAGAGGUGAGUAGAAUUCCGAGUGUAGAGGUGAAAUUCGUAGAUAUUCGGAGGAACACCAGUGGCGAAGGCGGCUCACUGGUCCGGUACUGACGCUGAGGUGCGAAAGCGUGGGGAGCAAACAGG